rnacentral:rRNA from 1 species
GGGGGAUUUUGGGCAAUGGGCGCAAGCCUGACCCAGCGACGCCGCGUGGGGGAUGAAGGCCUUCGGGUUGUAAACCUCUGUCAGGCGGGAAGAAGGUCCCGCCGGUUAAUACCCGGCGGGAAUUGACGGUACCGCCAAAGGAAGCCCCGGCUAACUCCGUGCCAGCAGCCGCGGUAAUACGGAGGGGGCGAGCGUUGUUCGGAUUUACUGGGCGUAAAGCGCGCGUAGGCGGCUAGGUAAGUCAAAGGUGAAAGCCCUCGGCUCAACCGAGGAACUGCCUUUGAAACUGCUUUGCUUGAGUCCGGGAGGGGGGAGCGGAAUUCCCAGUGUAGCGGUGAAAUGCGUAGAUACUGGGAGGAACACCGGUGGCGAAGGCGGCUCCCUGGACCGGUACUGACGCUGAGGUGCGAAAGCGUGGGUAGCAAACAGGAUUAGAUACCCUGGUAGUCCACGCCGUAAACGAUGGGCACUAGGUGCAGCGGGUGUCGACCCCUGCUGUGCCGAAGCUAACGCAUUAAGUGCCCCGCCUGGGGAGUACGGUCGCAAGGCUG